rnacentral:lncRNA from 1 species
UCCAAAUGCCUGGGGAAAGGUUUCUAAGAUGGGUUCCACAUAUAUUUUUUCUUUCCUUCACCUUUUUGGAGAGUUUCAAACAAUAAAAAAAUCUUUCUUUCCCCAACCUUUCUCUCCUCCUCGCUAUCUUUUCCUUAAAACAAAAAUAGCCUUAGGAUCCAACAUAACUGUUUAUUCAAAAAUAAAGUUAUGCAAUUGCAGCUAACCAUCUGAUAUAAUAAACAUGAGACAAAAAGAGAUAUAAAAUUGUAAAGAAAAGAGAAUAUUAAAUGUGUGGUUGAAAUGUAACAAUUGAGAAAAAUUGAGAGAAAUACACUUGAGAGAAUCUAUUAAAAGAAUUAUAAUUCCUUUGUUCAAUAUUAAUUAUUUCAAACAAAAAAAAAAAAAUGCCUCCGGAUUUAUCCUUGCCAUACCAGCAAAACAAGUUGGCCCCCAUAUCUAUGACAUUUCAUUAUUUGAACCAACUCUUCCAAACAUCAUCGGGAUCCAGCAUAAUAUUAGUCGAGAAAACGAUAAGAGAAAUUUGAGAUCGGUCAAUCGAUUGCAAUAGUGAGUAUGAAAUGUGAUCUCCACUUUGAAGUGAAUCAUCGUCCAUGAAGACUUGCAUUUCAAAGUAUGAUGAUAUUAUAAAAAUAUUUUGUUGACGAGAAAGAAAGAAGGUUUUGUGUUGUUUACUGGUUUGAGGGGGUGAUGAAGUGGUUUAUAUGUGAAAGGUUGGGUAAGUUAGGUUUAGAGUUGAA